GCAGGGAUGCCGGAGCGGAAAACGGGAUGGACUCAAGAUCCAUUGGCUCAGUGCCUACGAGGGUUCAAAACAAGGGAUUUCAUCCCCUUGACCCCUGAAAAAACCCACUAGGGUUUUUUCGGGCUUGACAAACGCGCAAGCGUUCUGUCAAGUCCUGAAAUGCCACCUUCGCCUUGCGGCGAAGUGCCAUGGUUUUUAGGGGCAGAUGGGCUUCCUUGGGAAACUCCCUCUCCCUGCACCA
rnacentral:tRNA from 1 species